GAUGAUACCAAUACCACAGUUUUCAUCUCUGCUUCCUGUAAGGAGAUUAAUUAAGCUGGAUCAUGCUCUGUAAUUAAACAUGCUUAACCAGUGGCUCCAAAUCAAUUCUUUUUUCCGAGUGAUAGCGUUGAUGACCUAUAUUAACUCCAUCGGGUCGGGGUAAGGAGUGGACAGAAUUUCUUGUAAAUUGCACGACUGCGACCGUCGUUUCCAUCCUACUAGAACGAUUCAGGUCAAUGCAUAGCUUUUGCCAAGUAGUAGCGGUCAGCAAUUCACCAUUUCUUUUUCGAAAGCGUUUGGGGAACACUACAAGUCAAUGGCCGCCCGCGUUAAGCAUGCCCGCCUCCGUAAUUCAUUAGUGCCCGGUUGAAUAAUCACCAUUCACCUUUUUGGUGGUGCCGAUUUUCGUCAAAAGGCGUAAUGUACCGGGUGGGGAACGGGGCCACGUCACGUGAGGCCUUCCUAUUGGCACGGCAAAGUUAUGUUUUGACUUGGGGUUAAGCCUCGCCCUCGCCUCGUUUAGGUAGGUAGCAUAGCAUGAUCAACUAUCUCAUGAGGAGUCAUGGCAUUUAUCUCUGACGGUACACGACAUCGUUAAAGCGGCGAUUCAUUGGCGCGAUGCGAUCGCGUGCGUUUAUUUGCGCAGAACCGCCAAACAAAGAUGUUACUAGAAUUUCGAUUAUUUGCACGCACACGGUAGCGUUAACGGCCUUGUCAUCUAAUAAACAUAGAUUAUUUGCACGCAUGGUUAUUUGCAGAUAAGCAUACACGAUAGCAUCGCGUCAAAGAAAACACAACUUUAACGCUAUCGUGUAGGGCAAACAAUCACAUUUCCAAGUAAAUCGUGGCAAAUGUACCCGCUAUCGUGUACGUUGAAGCCGCGUUUCGUUAGUGAUGCUUUAUGUAUCUUUCGGUGUUGAUGUGUGUGGAUGCUUGGGGGUUAUGUUUUAGGUAGCAUAGCAUGAUCUGUGCCAUGAGGAGUCAUGGCAUUUAUAGUUGAUGGUUAUGUUAUAACAGUACACCACUCGCUAUCGUGUACGUCAAAGCUGCAUUUCGUUAGUGAUGCUUUAUGUGUUUUCCAUUGUUCAUGUGUUGAAUUCUUGGGUGGUUUGUUUUAAUGUAUUGCCUUUUCUGAUUUUUUUUUUAUAGCAGUGAUAAUUAGUAAAUCUUCCUUAGCUCAAUGUGAUAAGGGCAUCUGAAGUUAACCUUCCUUAUUAACUCCAAUGCAACAGACCAGAACCCCAAAGUAGGAACCAAAGCAUAUUCUAGGUUCAUCUCCAAAGCUAGAAACGUCUUUUUGAAGAAAAAGAUUCAUGAACAAGUAGAUGAGUACAAGCUACUAUAGCAGUAGUAGUAACUUGGGCAGGGAAUUAUUGUUCCUUGAGCGAUCAGCCAUUGCCAUUUGAGUUCAAUCAUGAAACUUACAGAGGAA